AUUGAACGCUGGCGGCAUGCCUUACGCAUGCAAGUCGAACGGCAGCAUGGAGAGCUUGCUCUCUGAUGGCGAGUGGCGAACGGGUGAGUAAUGCAUCGGAACGUACCGUGUAAUGGGGGAUAACGUAGCGAAAGUUACGCUAAUACCGCAUACGACCUGAGGGUGAAAGCAGGGGAUCGCAAGACCUUGCGUUAUACGAGCGGCCGAUGUCAGAUUAGCUAGUUGGUGAGGUAAAGGCUCACCAAGGCGACGAUCUGUAGCGGGUCUGAGAGGAUGAUCCGCCACACUGGGACUGAGACACGGCCCAGACUCCUACGGGAGGCAGCAGUGGGGAAUUUUGGACAAUGGGGGCAACCCUGGUCCAGCCAUGCCGCGUGAGUGAAGAAGGCCUUCGGGUUGUAAAGCUCUUUCGGCCGGGAAGAAAUCGCACAGGCUAAUACUCUGUGUGGAUGACGGUACCGGCAUAAGAAGCACCGGCUAACUACGUGCCAGCAGCCGCGGUAA
rnacentral:rRNA from 1 species